AAGAGGUCGAAUCCUUUACUCCUUUUAGAAGCUAAACCCUAAAUUUCAAAAUCUGUCUCCUCUCAACCUCUUUCCCUCUUUUCAAUUCAUUUCUAGCGUUCUUAACUUCGGCGAACAUCUCAAAUCCACAAAUCAUAAAGCUCCGAAUUCGCCACAUCAUGUUCAGCAACCAUGAUUCUAGACUCCACGAUGCCGGAUCUUACCGACAGCGCCGAGUUGAUUUGGUUGGGCCGCCACCGAUGAUGAUUCCGCCCCCUAUGCCAGAUGGUGCUCCGCCCAGCUAUGGCCGCGGAGGUCCUCAUGUGGCACCUCCGUUUAUGGUGGGUGGUGCUAGGAGUGGAUAUCAGAUUGAUCAUGGUGCUGGAAGAGGGUUUGGAGCUGGUUAUGGUGGUGGUUUUACUGACCAAGGUAGAGGUGGAGGUAGGGGAGGGUUUGGUGGCAGAGGACAUAGCUAUAACGGCGUAGGAGAUAGGGGUGGCCAUGAAGGUGGGAGAAAAGGUCAUUUCUCGGGAAGGAGUUUUGAUCAUGGUCGUGGUGGUGGUUUUGGUGGAGGUCGUGGUUUUAGUGGGGGUCGUGGUGGCAGAGGAGGUAGGUCGAGGGGGGAUGACUUGGACAGCAUUUCGCUUCCUAAACCUGAUUUUAGUGGGUUGAUUCCCUUUAAAAAGGAUUUUUAUGUGGAGAGUCCAUCUGUGAGGGCAAUGACUGAGCAGGAGGUGAUGAUGUAUCGUGCACGUCGGGAGAUUACUGUUGAAGGACAUGAUGUCCCCAAACCUAUCCGGAUGUUUGAAGAAGCAAGUUUCCCUGGUUACUGCCUUGAGGUAAUUGCCAGACUGGGGUUUGUUGAGCCAACACCUAUUCAAUCACAAGGAUGGCCCAUGGCAUUAAGAGGUCGAGAUCUUAUAGGCAUUGCUGAGACGGGUUCUGGAAAAACUUUGUCAUAUUUGCUGCCUGCUUUUGUUCAUGUUAGUGCUCAGCCCAGGUUAGCUCAAGGUGAUGGUCCCAUCGUACUAGUCCUAGCACCUACUAGAGAAUUAGCUAUUCAGAUUCAAGAAGAAGCUUUGAAGUUCGGAUCAGUUGCUAAUAUAAGAAGUACUUGUAUAUACGGCGGUGCCCCAAAGGGGCCACAAAUUCGUGAUCUUAAAAGAGGAGUUGAAAUUGUCAUAGCUACACCUGGUAGAUUGAUUGACAUGUUGGAAGCGCAGCACACUAACUUGCGAAGAGUGACUUACCUUGUGCUAGAUGAGGCCGACCGUAUGCUAGAUAUGGGAUUUGAACCCCAAAUCAGGAAAAUUGUUUCUCAGAUUCGCCCAGAUAGACAGACCCUGUACUGGAGUGCCACAUGGCCUAGGGAGGUGGAAACUCUGGCAAGACAGUUCCUACGCAACGCCUACAAGGUCAUCAUUGGAUCUCAAGAACUGAAAGCAAAUCAAUCUAUACAUCAAAUUGUUGAAGUUAUGACUGAUAUGGAGAAAUAUAAUAGGUUGAUCAGAUUGCUGAAAGAAGUGAUGGAUGGGAGUAAAAUUUUAAUUUUUGUGGAGACUAAAAAGGGAUGUGAUCAAGUUACAAGACAACUAAGAAUGGAUGGAUGGCCAGCUCUGUCCAUACACGGUGACAAAAACCAGGACGAAAGGGAUUGGGUUCUAGCUGAGUUUAAAAGUAGCAGAACUCCUAUAAUGAUUGCUACUGAUGUUGCUGCUCGUGGCCUCGGUAGGAUUAGUCUAAAAGUAUGGGUUUAGAGUGUCAUUAUGGUCUUUGAACUACAUAGCUCGUCUCCUGGCUGUUCUUCAUGUUCCUAAUGAUAUAGUGGUUUGGGUGCGGAAGUUUUUUGUAUUAUGCACAUUGGCUGCCUACUACGGUAUCUCUACGCUAUGAGCAUGGUGUCUUGGCCUAGCAAUGACCUAGAAAAUAUUGAGAUGAUGCUGUUGCUUUUUCUGUUUCUCGAAAGUUCAGAGCAAAAGCGACAGAACCUCUAGAAUACGCAUGUUUUUUUAUAGUCCAGUGUGUCAUAGGCUAUAGGCUAAUGAGUGUCGAUAGGUUACGUUGAUUGUUGUGAUAUCCAUAUGAUGGGGAAUCAACACUAUAUGUGGACACAGGAUUUAGUAGACUGUUCCAUAUACAGCGUGCUCCUUGCAUGUGCCCGAGCGACAUAAUUAAGGCUAAAGUGCCCAUCCACUCUUAGGGAGCUAAUAGUUGUACAGCCGGUAGACUCGUGCGAGGUUAUUCAUUGAUUGGACAGUGAUUUUGAAAGUUGUGGAGCAGCUGCUUCUUAUCCCUGCAAAGUAAGAUGUGAAGGACAUUAAAGUCGUAGUCAAUUACGAUUUCCCUUCAAAUUUGGAGGAUUAUGUCCAUAGGAUUGGCAGAACUGGUCGUGCAGGAGCCACGGGAACUGCUUUCUCAUUUUUCACUCAUGCAAAUGUGAAGCAUGC